ACAAACUUGGUCAUUUAGAGGAAGUAAAAGUCGUAACAAGGUCUCCGUUGGUGAACCAGCGGAGGGAUCAUUACCGAAGUUACUCUUCAAAACCCUUUGUGGACCCUACCCCUGCCGUUGCCUCGGCGGGAGGCGGUCCGGGGGCGGCCCCCGCGGCCUACCCCCGGCGCGCCCCCGCCGGCGGCGCCAAACUCUUACUUUGCACAGCGGACUGUACGUCUGAUUUUGGUAAUAAAACAAGUCAAAACUUUCAACAACGGAUCUCUUGGUUCUGGCAUCGAUGAAGAACGCAGC
rnacentral:misc_RNA from 1 species